GGUGCAUGGUUGUCGUCAGCUCGUGUCGUGAGAUGUUGGGUUAAGUCCCGCAACGAGCGCAACCCUCGUCCUAUGUUGCCAGCGGGUCAUGCCGGGGACUCAUGGGAAGACUGCCGGGGGUCAACUCGGAGGAAGUGGGGAUGACGUCAAAUCAUCAUGCCCCUUAUGUCUUGGGCUUCACGCAUGCGUACAAUGGCCGGUACAAAGGGCUGCGAUACCGCGAGGUGGAGCGAAUCCCAGAAAGCCGGUCUCAGUUCGGAUUGGGGUCUGCAACUCGACCCCAUGAAGUCGGAGUCGCUAGUAAUCGCAGAUCAGCAACGCUGCGGUGAAUACCGGUUCCCGGGCCUU
rnacentral:rRNA from 1 species